AUACCAAGUUGUCUUAUCCACUUUUAGAACCUAAAACUAAAAAAAAGUAGAAAAACCUAACUCAUAAUCAGGUGGUCCCAGGUUCAAAUCCUGGUGGGCCCA
rnacentral:tRNA from 1 species